rnacentral:rRNA from 1 species
UAGGGAAUCUUCCGCAAUGGACGCAAGUCUGACGGAGUAACGCCGCGUGAGUGAAGAAGGAUUUCGGUUCGUAAAACUCUGUUGUUAGAGAAGAACAGCGCAUAGAGUAACUGUUAUGCGUGUGACGGUAUCUAACCAGAAAGCCACGGCUAACUACGUGCCAGCAGCCGCGGUAAUACGUAGGUGGCAAGCGUUGUCCGGAUUUAUUGGGCGUAAAGCGAGCGCAGGCGGUCAAUUAAGUCUGAUGUGAAAGCCCCCGGCUCAACCGGGGAGGGUCAUUGGAAACUGGUUGACUUGAGUGCAGAAGAGGAGAGUGGAAUUCCAUGUGUAGCGGUGAAAUGCGUAGAUAUAUGGAGGAACACCAGUGGCGAAGGCGACUCUCUGGUCUGUAACUGACGCUGAGGCUCGAAAGCGUGGGUAGCAAACAGG